rnacentral:rRNA from 1 species
AUAAUCAUUUGCCUUAUAAUUGAAGGCUAGUAUGAAUGGUUUGACGAGAGCAAUACUGUCUCCUUUUUAUUUUCAAAAACUUAACUUUUAGGUGAAGAGGCCUAAAUUUUAUUGAAGGACAAGAAGACCCUGUCGAGCUUAAAAGACAUUAUAGGAGUCUAAUAUAUUUUUAAAUAAAUUUUCUAUUAGGCUUUUUAGUUGGGGCGACUAGGGAACAAAAAAAGCUUCUUUCUAAUAAAUAAACAAUCAUGUUUAGAUCCGAUAAUAGCGAUCAAAGAAAUUAGUUACCGCAGGGAUAACAGCAUAAUCUCUCUUAAGAGGCCUAAUCGAAAGAGGGGGUUGUGACCUCGAUGUUGGACUAGAAUAUCCUAAAGAUGCAGAAGUCUUUAAGGGUCGGUCUGUUCGACCGUUAAAAUUCU